CAGCAGUGAGGAAGGUGGGUAUGUUAAUAGCAUAUUCAUUUGACGUUAGCUGCAGAAGAAGCACCGGCUAACUCCGUGCCAGCAGCCGCGGUAAUACGGAGGGUGCGAGCGUUAAUCGGAAUUACUGGGCGUAAAAGCGCAUGCAGGUGGUUUGUUAAGUCAGAUGUGAAAGCCCGGGGCUCAACCUCGGAAUUGCAUUUGAAAACUGGCAAACUAGAGUACUGUAGAGGGGGUAGAAUUUCAGGUGUAGCGGUGAAAUGCGUAGAGAUCUGAAGGAAUACCGGUGGCGAAGGCGGCCCCCUGGACAGAUACUGACACUCAGAUGCGAAAGCGUGGGGAGCAAACAGGAUUAGAUACCCUGGUAG
rnacentral:rRNA from 1 species